GACGAACGCUGGCGGCGUGCUUAACACAUGCAAGUCGAACGGAAAGGCCCUGCUUUUGUGGGGUGCUCGAGUGGCGAACGGGUGAGUAACACGUGAGUAACCUGCCCUUGACUUUGGGAUAACUUCAGGAAACUGGGGCUAAUACCGGAUAGGAGCUCCUGCUGCAUGGUGGGGGUUGGAAAGUUUCGGCGGUUGGGGAUGGACUCGCGGCUUAUCAGCUUGUUGGUGGGGUAGUGGCUUACCAAGGCUUUGACGGGUAGCCGGCCUGAGAGGGUGACCGGCCACAUUGGGACUGAGAUACGGACCAGACUCCUACGGUAGGCAACAGUGGGGAAUAUUGCACAAUGGGCGGAAGCCUGAUGCAGCAACGCCGCGUGCGGGAUGACGGCCUUCGGGUUGUAAACCGCUUUCGCCUGUGACGAAGCGUGAGUGACGGUAAUGGGUAAAGAAGCACCGGCUAACUACGUG
rnacentral:rRNA from 1 species